CACCGCGGUUAUACGAGAGGCUCAAGUCGACAGACGACGGCGUAAAGAGUGGUUAAGGAAAACAUUUAACUAAAGCGGAACACCCUCAUAGCUGUUAUACGCUUCCGAGGGCAUGAACCCCAACUACGAAGGUGGCUUUACACUACCUGAACCCACGAAAGCUAAGAAACAAACUGGGAUUAGAUACCCCACUAUGCUUAGCCUUAAACAUUGAUUGUUUACCACAUCAAACAUCCGCCUGGGAAUUACGAACACUAGUUUAAAACCCAAAGGACUUGGCGGUGCUUAACAUCCACCUAGAGGAGCCUGUUCUAGAACCGAUAACCCCCGUUUAACCUCACCCUCCCUAGUUUUCUCCCGCCUAUAUACCACCGUCGCCAGCUUACCCUGUGAAGGCCUAAUAGUAAGCACAAUUGGCACAGCCCAAAACGUCAGGUCGAGGUGUAGUGCAUGAGAGGGGAAGAAAUGGGCUACAUUCGCUGCCUACCAGCGAAUACGAAUGAUGCAUUGAAAUAUGCAACUGAAGGAGGAUUUAGCAGUAAGUAGAAAGCAGAGUGUUCCACUGAAACCGGCUCUUAAGCGCGCACACACCGCCCGUCACCCUCUCCGAGCAUCUGGCCCCAAAUUUUAUUAAAUCCUAACAACCGCGAAGGAGAGGAAAGUCGUAA
rnacentral:rRNA from 1 species